rnacentral:rRNA from 1 species
CCUACGGGCGGCAGCAGUGGGGAAUAUUGCACAAUGGUGGAAACCCUGAUGCAGCAACGCCGCGGGAGUGAAGAAGUAUUUCGGUAUGUAAAGCUCUAUCAGCAGGGAAGAAAAUGACAGUACCUGACUAAGAAGCCCCGGCUAACUACGUGCCAGCCGCCGCGGGAAUACGUAGGGGGCAAGCGUUAUCCGGAUUUACUGGGUGUAAAGGGAACGUAGGCGGCUGUGCAAGUCAGAAGUGAAAGCCCGGGGCUCAACUUCAGGAAGGCUUGUGAAACUGUGUUGCUAGAGGGCAAGAGAGGUUUGUGGAAUUCCUGGUGUAGCGGUGAAAUGCGUAGAUAUUAGGAGGAACACCGGUAGCGAAGGCGGCAAUCUGGAUUGAAACUGACGCUGAGGUGCGAAAGCGUGGGGAGCAAACAGGAUUAGAUACCCGAGUAGUC